CUUUCUCCCUGCACAGAGUGGAUAGUGAAACAAAUGGAAUCAUCAUACAUACAUUAUUUCAUAUUUAUUAUUGUUUUUCCCUCAUUGCUUUAUUAUUGUAGCUCUAGUAAUAAAUAAUAAUGGAAGGAUUCUGGAUCAGCACCAUGAUGCCCACAUUAUAUACAGUAUUCUGAAGGUCUAAAAUGUCCCUGUGUGUGCGUGCAUGUGUGUGUUUUAUGUAUAUGGAUUUUUUAAAUUAUUACUCAUGAUAUAACAUUGUCCAGACAUGGCUGGUAAGGACAUGAGGAGGAAACAGUAGGAGCUGUGUGAGGAUACUAAAGGCAGUGGAUCCCUCAGCAGCUGGAUUACAAAGAGCACAGUCUCAGAUCAGCACAGCCCUACCCUCCAGCACUAUCAGCAGCAGGAGCAGCAGCAACUCCUCAACAGCAACAUUGUACCCAUCAGGUAAAACAUAGGCUACGUUUGCUUUGCCUUGUUGCCACCUCACAACAGUAAUGUAGUAUGAUGCGAUCCCAUAUUAGAUUCUUGAUGAAUGUGUGUUGUUGUUAUUCAGCCUGGUUCAAUGUGCCCCUUUUUAACUUUGAGCACCCGCCCCUUUAAACGUCUCUGCACGGCCCUGCUUGUGAGUGAAAUAUUUUAAAUCCUUUUAAUUGGAGUCAUUAUAGGUUUUAGCUCUAGUGUGUCAAAUUAUCAGAAUAUUUGCAAUUAAUGAUAUUCAAUUCAACUUUAUUUAUACAGCACCAAAUCACAACAACAGUCGCCUCAACGCCCUUUAUAUUGUAAGGUAGACCCUACAAUAAUGCAUACAGAGAAAAACCCAAUAAUCAUCAACAAUCAGAUGACCCCCUAUGAGCAAGCACUUUGGCAACAGUGGGGAGGAAAAACUCCCCCUUAACAGGAAGAAACCUCCGGCAGAAUCAGGCUCUGGAUGAAAUUAAGUCCAUUCAUUGCUAUUUGGUCAUAAUAAUCAGCAAUGUGAGGAAGCUUCACAGAUGACAGCUUAAAACAUCUUUAAGAACCUUAAAAAGUCC
ensembl:lncRNA